CCUACGGGAGGCAGCAGUGAGGAAUAUUGGUCAAUGGACGAGAGUCUGAACCAGCCAAGUAGCGUGAAGGAUGACUGCCCUAUGGGUUGUAAACUUCUUUUAUAUGGGAAUAAAAUGUUCCACGUGUGGGAUUUUGUAUGUACCAUAUGAAUAAGGAUCGGCUAAUUCCGUGCCAACAGCCGCGGUAAUACGGAGGAUCCGAGCGUUAUCCGGAUUUAUUGGGUUUAAAGGGAGCGUAGGUGGAUUGUUAAGACAGUUGUGAAAGUGUGCGGCUCAACCGUAAAAUUGCAGUUGAAACUGGCAGUCGUGAGUACAGGAGAGGUGGGCGGAAUGCGUGGUGUAGCGGUGAAAUGCAUAGAUAGCACGCAGAACUCCGAUUGCGAAGGCAGCAUACCGGCGCGAAACUGACGCUCAUGCACGAAGGCGUGGGUAUCGAACAGGAUUAGAUACCCGAGUAGUC
rnacentral:rRNA from 1 species